AGUGAACGCUGGCGGUAGGCCUAACACAUGCAAGUCGAACGGCAGCACAGUAAGAGCUUGCUCUUACGGGUGGCGAGUGGCGGACGGGUGAGGAAUACAUCGGAAUCUACUUUUUCGUGGGGGAUAACGUAGGGAAACUUACGCUAAUACCGCAUACGACCUACGGGUGAAAGCAGGGGAUCUUCGGACCUUGCGCGAUUGAAUGAGCCGAUGUCGGAUUAGCUAGUUGGCGGGGUAAAGGCCCACCAAGGCGACGAUCCGUAGCUGGUCUGAGAGGAUGAUCAGCCACACUGAACCUGAGACACGGUCCAGACUCCUACGGGAGGCAGCAGUGGGGAAUAUUGGACAAUGGGCGCAAGCCUGAUCCAGCCAUACCGCGUGGGUGAAGAAGGCCUUCGGGUUGUAAAGCCCUUUUGUUGGGAAAGAAAAGCAGCAGGUUAAUACCCCGCUGUUCUGACGGUACCCAAAGAAUAAGCACCGGCUAACUUCGU
rnacentral:rRNA from 1 species